rnacentral:rRNA from 1 species
UCUCCUGGAAAACGGGUGGUAAUGCCGGAUGCUCCAGUUGACCGCAUGGUCCUCUGGGAAAGCUUUUGCGGUAUGGGAUGGGGUCGCGUCCUAUCAGCUUGAUGGCGGGGUAACGGCCCACCAUGGCUUCGACGGGUAGCCGGCCUGAGAGGGCGACCGGCCACAUUGGGACUGAGAUACGGCCCAGACUCCUACGGGAGGCAGCAGUGGGGAAUAUUGCACAAUGGGCGCAAGCCUGAUGCAGCGACGCCGCGUGCGGGAUGACGGCCUUCGGGUUGUAAACCGCUUUUGACUGGGAGCAAGCCCUUCGGGGUGAGUGUACCUUUCGAAUAAGCACCGGCUAACUACGUGCCAGCAGCCGCGGUAAUACGUAGGGUGCAAGCGUUAUCCGGAAUUAUUGGGCGUAAAGGGCUCGUAGGCGGUUCGUCGCGUCCGGUGUGAAAGUCCAUCGCUUAACGGUGGAUCCGCGCCGGGUACGGGCGGGCUUGAGUGCGGUAGGGGAGACUGGAAUUCCCGGUGUAACGGUGGAAUGUGUAGAUAUCGGAAAGAACAC